UCCAUUUUUGCUGAAAAAAGUAGAUGUCUCAAGAAAUUCCUUCAUUUGAUGCUUUAUAAUUGUUUUCUAAACAGAUUACUAUUUAGGGGGACUAGUUCGCAUUCAAGCCGGCCAGACUGUCUUCUGCUGAAAGCAGACCUUCACUCUUUCCAGUUAAAGAUUAUUCUCAGCUCUUUUCCACAAUGACUGAAUGCACCAUAUUCUUGAUACAAAUAGGUUUCCAUUGUGGACAUUCUUGGUACCCCACUGCGACCUUUCCACAGCCUUGCUGGCGCUCUGUCCUCCGAGAAUGCCUGCUCUGAGCCUAGAGCCUCCCAUUCUCUGGGGAAAUCACUCGGGGGCCAAAGGGGGGCCUUUGCGUCCUCCAGGACGUAUCACUCACGCACAACUGGUGAUGGAGGAAGCAUAAGCAUUAGCCCUAGUUUCCAAAGAGGAUCAAUUCUGAAGAGAAAGUCAUAUUCCAUUCCCUGGGAUAGGGGUGCCAGGAAGCUCUGGCUCUGACCAUGUCCUGCGUAGCUCUCUUCUUGCAAGGACAUCAACACCUUGCUCCCUGUCUCCUGCUGUGCAUGGAGGAAACCUGACAGUCACUCUCAUAUAAAUGUUUAUGGCAGACAGGGCACAAAAACUGAAAAACAAGACUGGGGAAAAGAUGUUCAUUCAGCUUUGGUCAUGUUGAGUUUGAGAAUCUUAGAGCUACUCAAGUACAGUUUUGAACAGCAUCUCCGCCCUCCCAAGCCAUAUUAGAAAUUCUUCUUCCCUAGAAGAUGUUGGCACUUAUGGACCCCCUGCAGCUGCAGGCAAAAUCUGUGCGG